CACGGGCAGCACCUCGGGGACUGCGGGGAAGGGAGCACCUGAGGUGUGCGCAGCAGGGCAGGAGGACACGCCUGGCAGGAGGACGGGGUCCCCCCAUGAAGCCGUCCCCAGGAAGUGUGGCUGGCGGAUUUCAGUGUCACAGCCCUGCGCUGGGGUCGUACAUUCUAUGCUCAGGGACAUGUUCGUAUUGAGCGCUGAAUCAGAGAAAC